UACAGAGGUCUCAAGCGUUGUUCGGAUUCAUUGGGCGUAAAGGGUGCGUAGGCGGCGCGGUAAGUCAGGUGUGAAAUUUCGAGGCUUAACUUCGAAACUGCAUUCGAUACUGCCGUGCUUGAGGACUGGAGAGGAGACUGGAAUUUACGGUGUAGCGGUGAAAUGCGUAGAUAUCGUAAGGAAGACCAGUGGCGAAGGCGGGUCUCUGGACAGUUCCUGACGCUGAGGCACGAAGGUCAGGGGAGCAAACGGG
rnacentral:rRNA from 1 species